UCCGAGGGACGAAAGGGUGGACAAGGCUGUCAGAAGCGCCGAACAACCUGGACCAGACUGGCAGACACGUGACGUCAGAGUAAUUGGAUCAUGCGAUAAUUACUUGGUGGAAAUAUAUGUCUUGCGACACAUCAGAUCUCCAGUCAGAAGAGGAGGCAAUUCCUAAAAAGAGGAAGCCAGUGCCGGUCCAUUUCUAUGGAGACUCGGAUGGAGACAGUGAAAAUGAAAAUUCCCCCCACAAAACAGGGGUCCAACCACUAGCGGGACAGUUGUCCCUCCAAUCAUUGCCUCCUCUUAACUAUUCCAUGUACUCCAUCAC